UCCAUCCUAACCAUCUUCUGAACGUUGUCCCAGGACUUCUUCAGGCCCUCAUCACUCGUGUAAGUCUUCAUCGCCUCCUUCAACUCGUCCUGCGCUUUGGUGUCCAGCUGAGGGGAGGGAACGACAGCAGCGUGUCACACGCGGACCGGCACAACAACACACAGAUGUGUUCAUCACAGCCUGUGGAUCCGGGCCUUACCGUAUUGUGGAAGACGUGUAUCACCAGCACUAGCGUCACCUCUGUCAGAACCAGGAGCAACAGGAUCACAAAGAACUGCAAGACAAUAGAAUAGAGCUAUUUUUUAUCCUUCACAGGGGCAAAACAGUUAAUGCAAAUGAAAUGACGGAAUUAAGUGAACAUGGCAACAGAAAAGCACAGAAAUCCUAAAACUACAAAGAGAGAGAGGUUAGUGUAGCCCAUAAUGUUCCUGAAUAUUGGACAUGCGUGAGCAAUUUCUGUUUUCUUUAGCCUUUAAAGACGAUGUCUAUGAACUGUCUUGGGUUUAAAGGUGAAACAGUUGUUACAUCCCCCUCUCUAGAUAAGACGGCGUGCUCUGCGUAUCUCGUGACCUCGUCCCCACCCGCCCGACGCUUCACGUGUUGGUGCUGUGGAGGGUCAGUGAGUCGUAGUGUUCAGUCACCGUCAUGAGGAGGCAGCGCUGCUCCUUCAGCGCGCCCAGGCAGCCCAGGAAGCCCGUGACCAUGGUGACGCCGCCCGCCACCAGCAGCAGGUUGGCGGCGGAGAGCGAGGGGAAGGACAGGGGCAGGGAGGAGAAUUCGGCCUGGGUGAAGGACAGCCACACCCCGACGCCAAACAGCCCGCAGCCGCCCAGC